AAACUACAUACAGUCUUGGGUGCCCAAACAGGGAGAAUAGGGAAUCGGGUUAAAAUCCCGAGCGGGCCCGCCACUGUGAUAAUGAGUCCACGCCAUAAUGCCACCUUCAGCAAAAGCUGAUAGGGAAGGCGGACGUCGGACGAUGAAUUUCAGCCAGGAGACCUGCCCAAAGACUUUGAGCCAG
rnacentral:ncRNA from 2 species